CCUACGGGAGGCAGCAGUGGGGAAUAUUGGGCAAUGGGCGCAAGCCUGACCCAGCAACGCCGCGUGAAGGAAGAAGGCUUUCGGGUUGUAAACUUCUUUUAAGAGGGAGGAGCAGAAGACGGUACCUCUUGAAUAAGCCACGGCAAACUACGUGCCAGCAGCCGCGGUAAUACGUAGGUGGCAAGCGUGGUCCGGAUUUACUGGGUGUAAAGAGCUUGCAGCGGGGAAGAAAAGUCAGAUGUGAAAUCCCGGGGCUCAACCGCGGAACUGCAUUUGAAACUGUUAUUCUUGAGUACCGGAGAGGUCAUCGGAAUUCCUUGUGUAGCGGUGAAAUGCGUAGAUAGAAGGAAGAACACCAGUGGCGAAGGCGGAUGACUGGACGGCAACUGACGGUGAGGCGCGAAAGCGUGGGGAGCAAACAGGAUUAGAUACCCGAGUAGUC
rnacentral:rRNA from 1 species